GGCCUGCUGGUGUAACGGUAACAUCCCUGCUUUAUGUUGAAAAUAUCUCCCUCCAUCAGUGGGUGAUCCUUGUUCAAUUCAAGGGCAGGCAA